GGAAGGAUCAUUAUCGAAUAAACUUGAACAGGCUGUUUGCUGGUCCACUCGUGGGCAUGUGCACGCUUGUCAUCUUUAUCAUUUCUCCAACUGUGCACCUCUUGUAGACCCUGGGGCUUGUUUGAACACAAAUUUCUGUUUUCGAGUUGGGACUGCCAUUUGGCUUUGCCCUUGCAUCUCCAGGUCUAUGUUUUCACAAAACUUGUUUAGAAUGUGUUGGCAAUAAUAAUAAAGUUAUACAACUUUCAGCAACGGAUCUCUUGGCUCUCGCAUCGAUGAAGAACGCAGCGAAAUGCGAUAAGUAAUGUGAAUUGCAGAAUUCAGUGAAUCAUCGAAUCUUUGAACGCAUCUUGCGCUCCUUGGUAUUCCGAGGAGCAUGCCUGUUUGAGUGUCAUUUCAACUUCUCAACCACACCGGAUUUUUUUUCGAAGUGGCUUGGACAAUGGGGGGUUUUGCUGGCUUUUCUUCAAAGUCAGCUCCUCUGAAACAUAUUAGUGGUAUCUGAGCGGAACUGCUAGGUGUGAUAAUUUAUCUAUGCCUUUGGUGUUCUGCAUGAACAGAUUGUGCUGCUUCUAACAUGAGAAACAC
rnacentral:rRNA from 1 species